rnacentral:lncRNA from 1 species
AUUUAAAACAGUGAGGUUUAUUUCACAUGUAUAUUUUUGUCUCCCCACCAUUUCCAUGUCUGACCACCACUACUACUAUGGCCUAUCAUAACAUUCCAUACAUAUUUAAAACCAAGCAAAGGGUGGAGUUGCAUCUUUAAAAACUAAACAGCAAUUCUUCACAUAAUUAAUGAACUUGGCUUCUACUUUGGGAAGAGAACCACCUUUUCCUAUACUUGCUUGCAUUUUUGCUUUAAGUGCAAAGGACCUACAGAACUAGGUCCUUUUGGUGUUUUAGGAGUUUUUUCCUGUUUUUUUGAAGGAUUCUUGUCCUUUUGAUCUUGGUGUUGAUGAUGCUUUUGAGUCUUUUCCAUUCUGAUUUGACUUUUAUGCAUUUCUGGCUGGAGUAUCUUGUAUAGAUUUCUUCACUGGUGCUUUUUCUUCAGCUUCCUCAUCAUCAAACUCAUCAUCAUCAUCUUCAUCAUCCUCCUCUUCAUCUUCUGACUCUGCAUCUUCCUCCACAGCUACUAAUUGCUGUCAACUAAUAUGCACUGGCCCUGAAGCACACAUCAACCGACAGACCACUGGUGAUGUUAUUUCAAAGCCCCCAAGGGAAACCAUUGGCUGUACAUUUUCAAAGUUGCCAGUGUUACUUUAAUUGGACUGCCUUUGUAAUUCAUUGCCUCUGCUUCAAUAAUGUGCAAUUCAUCCUUUGCACCAGCACCAGCCCCUAAACUGAACGUUCUUUAAGAUAACUGGUGCUCAUUUUCAUCAUUAUCCAUCUUAAAGUGAUAAUCUUUGUCGGCCUUUAGUUCACAACCGAAAAGAUAGUUCUGGGGCCUCAGGGCUCAUCAAAUCUUCCAUUGGCUGGUGGCAUGCACUUAGGUGGGAAAGAAGGUGGACGGAGAUAAACAACCACUUCUCAAGAGAACAGCCAUGCAGAACGGAAUCACACCAGGCUCUUGGACUAUGUUGUGUUUUUUGUUUGUUUGUUUGUUUGUUUUUGUUUUUUUUUUUUUGAGACGGAGUCUUGCUCUGUCGCCCAGGCUGGAGUGCAGUGGUGCGAUCUCAGCUCACUGCAAGCUCCGCCUCCCGGGUUCACGCCAUUCUCCUGCCUCAGCCUCCCGAGCAGCUGGGACUUAUAGGUG